CAGAACUGAUCUGGUGCAGAAGUUACCAGAGAGCAGCUCAGCAUCCAGAGAGAAACACUCUGUGGAUGAACAUGGAGCUGCACUGUUGAAGAGAGU